GUUUGGGGCUGCUGCUUCCUGCAUCAGUGAGGAUAAAACAAGAUUCAAGUGAGCUUGGUGGGAAAGCCCCUGUGAAGCAAAUCACCAUGAAAAUACCUGUGAGCAAGAAACCUGAAAGAAUUCCUGCUGCUCCUGAUGUCCUGCUCUUUUCAGGACAGGAAAAAUCAUUUAAUUCGACCCAGCCACGCCUAAACCUGUGGUUUUGUCUGGGUUUGAGCAGCCAAACCCAAAAGCCUCCAGCCCUGACAGCCUGCACUGGAGCACCCCUGGUCCUGCACAUGCCGUGGGAUCCCUCUCAUUUCUCAGUGGGAAGGAGUUUCAUGUGCAACUGCUGCUGUCCUGUAACCAGUCCCCAGGACCAGGCCACUGAAUGCUGUGGGGGGACUGGGGCCCCAAAGACAAUUCUGGAAACAUCCUGGGGGCACCGUGGGGUCCCUCGGGGGCGAUGAGGGGGGCCCUGGGCAGAGGUUUCAGGGGGGCACCCGGCCCAGGAGCGAGUGACAAUAAAACAAACC